UAGGAUUUAUGCAGCUGUGUAUACAGUACUUUCUUAAGAGGCAUCUAAAAUAAUACUUUUUCUACUAUAAAACCUAAAUAAUUAAAGAAUCUAGGGCAGCAAUAACGCGGAAAUCAAGCAUAACUCCAGCCCUUCAGACGCGAACAUAUAUUCGAUUUUUCAAUCGACUCAAACUCAAUAAUAAUGUUAGUGAAUAUCAUCGGCGAAACAAAAGGCCACAGAUUCCGCUGGUUCGUCCAUUUACUGAGGAUGGGUGAGGAUCGGGGUGUUAAGAGAGCUCCAUUUGGGGUCCUAUACUUAUUCUAAAUAAAAUUUACACUAAUCAUUGUUUUUCAUUUUUGCUCUAUGACCCUUGUUUCAUAUAUAUUACC